rnacentral:lncRNA from 1 species
UUGGAUAGAAAUGGAGAACACCGAUUUGUGCUUCCUGGCCAAGGUGAAGGGAAACACUGGGGAAUACUACAAUGUGAAAGUGAUGGUAAUGCAGCACUUGAUGCUGGUGAGAGUAGUAUAAUUUCAGAUAUACUAUCUCUAGACCUGGAUGGAUGGGAUGAGUCGUUAACUUCUCCUCAAAACUUAGCUAAACUUUUGGGCGAUUCAGGAAAACAAACCAGUUCUCUGAAGAUGUCCAAUUCCUGGAAAGCUCAAAGUAACAAGCAGUCUAAGUUCUCUUUUGCUAGGCAGCCGGAGUCUAUGAACCAUGGAAUUGAUGCCGAUAAUUCCUUUAUUGGGUUGGGACAGAUGCCAAGGAAUCAUCCGUUUAAUCAUGAUCUCUUGGAAAGCAGAAAUGCUUAUAUGGACAAUCAUGUACCGAGUAAUGGUUUCUUGACAAGUAUUGUGGAUGAACCAAAUAACUUUCUGGGUGGCAUUCCAUCUUUCCCAUCGAGUAAUGCUCCAGGUGAAUAUUUCCCGAGUUCUGUUUAUUUCAAGUACGUGUCUUGUUUUUAACAUUAGUUUGUGAUGAGCUGCUGUUAUAUGUGUGCUAAUAAUAGCUCCUCAAUUAAUAGGUUCGCGAGCUCAAAUAUCGGCACCCCCAGGGUUUACUGUGCCUAGAGCACCACCACCAGGCUUUUCUUCUCACGAAAGAACGGACCAUACCUUUGAUUCCAUGUUAGGUUAGGCUUCAUUGAGCCUCUUUUGUCACGUUCAUCAGUCAUGUUAUUAUAUCCUGUUUAAUGCUUAUAGUUAAUUGUAUACGAGCUGCAGGAAAUCAGUUGCUGGAGACACCUUCGUUGUACAGAAGCUCAUACCAUGCUCCUCCAAUGACUGGAAGCACGGGAAGCACAGUAGACAUUGAAUUAAUUGAUCCUGCAAUUUUGGCCGUUGGUAAGGGGAGAUUGCAAGGGGGGCUUAGUAGUGGUAACCACCCAGGUUUAGACUUUAGAUCAAAUUUCCAACAACAAUUAGGAAUGUUUGAGAAUGAAGCCAGACUUCAACUACUCAUGCAGAGAUCUCAGCAACAGCAACAGCAACAGCAACAGCAACAACAGAACCUACGGUAUGCUGCUGAACUUGGGGGUAGCUUUUCUACUGCCCCUGAAUCUUACGGCAUUUCUUCAAGGAUAGCUGAUCAGCUGCAAAUGAACAAUAAUCAGUCUGCCUUUGCAAAACUCUCCCACUCACAGUCUAGGAAUGGAGUUGUGUCAAAUGGACAUUGGGAUAAUCAUAAUACUAGUUGGAAUGAAGUUCAGGGUGGGAACAGUAUGGGUAUGGCAGAGCUACUAAGGAACGAGAGACUGGGAGGGUUGAACAAGUUUUACACUGCAGGUUAUGAUGAUUCUAAAUAUCGGAUGCCGAGUUCGGGUGACUUUUACAACAGGACAUUUGAGAUGUGAAUGCGGAUGGAGAUCUUUGAGUUGCUGGCAAUGGCCGAGAUACGGAGGAAGAUGGAUGAUGUUCCUGAUCUGAACUGCUACUUGUACUACUGAACGAUUGGAACUGGACUGGGCUGGACUGGACCAGCUUUAAGCCAUGUGGACAAAGCAAGCAAAGCUCAUGGAGACUUGAGGUUUGAGAAGGGCUCUGAAGGACUGUAGUCUCAGAAGAAGGAAACAGGUGAAUUUACAACCAUUUCCCGCUGCAACUUCAAGGGGAGUGACACCAUUUUUUGUUUCUGGUUUUCCCCACAAAGUUGGUUAUGUAAAAGCUGUGGGAAAAACAACAUUGGUAUAGUUGAAGCGAAGGGUCCAUGGAUGUGCUGUGCUUUAUACCCCCCCUACCUACCUGAGAAAGUCCUAUCUAAUCGUAGAAAAGCUCUAUUCUGCUUUCGAUAUUUGUUAUUAUUGGUCUUUUGCUUGAGAUGAGUAAAAGGAAUUUUGGUUGAUGUAUGCGAUCUAGUCCGUCCCAAAAUUUUAAAUGCAGCAUAUAAAAGAAGCUCCCUCCCGACUUUUGCUACAUAUGCGGCCGCAUUGUGCAUAAUUCCAACAGCUGCUGAAUCAGAAUUCGUGGCAACUUCCCUUGUCCGUUCGCCCAGUCUAUGCUGAAAAGCACCUUGUUUUGGGACUUUGGUUCAUAACCAAGUAAGCAAAUACAUUCUGAAAGAACAGAGCUAGGGUCACACUUUCCAUGAGCACAGCAAUGAUGGUAUAUAUCAUAGUUCGGGUGUGAAACCACAAAAAUCCUUCCACAUCCCACCCGUUUCUUCCUACAUUACUGUUCUCGCUGUUCCCAAAUUGUCAAUCACAAGCAUCAACACAGUUGAAGCAUCACGAGGAACAAACGAGUACCAUAUCCCAACUUCAUUAUUAACAAAAGAACCAUUGUACAAAUGAUGCUCUACUUUCCAUGCCCAUAGGACACCCUGCCUACUGGGAUUCAUCCCCUGAUACAAAAGGAACUGAGGCGAGCCGUUCAGAUUGAUCUUAAACGAGAAAUCGCCAGUUCCGGGAUCAUCUUCUGAUCUCCAAGAGGCCAGUAACACAUUCAAACCUGUUUCAAGAUUAAUGCCAAUUUUCAUACCGGAUAAAAAGGUAUCCGUAGGAUGCUCAAAGCUUUGCUACACAAGUAGUGAUGUAUUGUUACUAGUUGUACCUUGUUGGACCAACACCAGAUUUCCUGAAUCCAAUAGUGGAGCUGAACAGGGAAAAGUUCUGGAAACGUUUGUAGACCAUAUGGCAACCUCUUGAUUUCGGGUGCAGUUGUAAUAGUGAAAGUAAUAUCAAAAUGUGUUUUGACAUAUUAGAUUCCUCUCAUAUCAGAUCCGACUGGUCAACACCCAACAAAACUAGUAACAGACUUAGUUUGGCCAAUAUCACUUCCUCAUUCCGUCGGCGCCAAUUUAACUUGUCUGAUUCUAUCUUCAGUUACUCUCCACCCAAAUUGAGAAUCAAACUCCACUAAAUCCUCCACAAUCCCCUGGACCCUCUACCGAAAUAGAACCCUAACUUUGCUUUCUUGUUAUAUAUGCUCUACAUAACAUAUAUUUCCUAGUAUAACCAAACAAUCGAGUAAAGCUUAUUAAUUCGAAUAACCCAUCCCACUAUAUGGGAUUUUGAUUUCAAUGAUUUCAAAUUAACUUUCACGUAUACGCUGAAAGAACAUGUUUGAUUCUGACAAUCUCAAUAUCGACAACACCACAAUUUUUAUUAAAUGUUGAAGAAAUGGAUGUGUGCAUGGAGCCACUAAACAAAAAUCGAUAAUUAUUUUUCCUCUUAGCAGCUUCCCUCAAGAAGACGAGUCAAUGUUUCAGUUUGGACAAAUAGUAAGCUUACUAUGUGAGAGAUUGUUAAGUGGGGAAAGUGUAAGAAUUUAAUUUGGGAAAAGACUUUCCAUCGGGAGGGAUUAAAUAAAAAAACGGUAUAGUCAAGAGGGUUAAUAUGAAAUAUUUCAAUUGUACGAAGGAAGACGGAGGAUCUUAUCACCGGAGACCAUAUUUGCUUACCUCGGCGACCUAUAGAGAGCUAUUAGGGAGAGAUAAGAAGAUAAAAAAUUCGAGAUCGACAAAAAAAUGAUGGUACGAAGAUGGACCCCACUCAAUAUGUUUCAAGAAUGAACUAUUUUUAUCAUACUCCGGAACCGCAUGGUUAUAGUUGGCCAACGACUCGAUGAUAUGGUAUGCUGGUGUGUCAAACAUUAACAGGCAAUGAACAGAAUUUAUAAGGGAAGGAGAGAAUUGUCAAGUUGGCUAAAGUAAAAGGGAGUAAAAUGAGCAUUUUAUAGUAUAGGGGCUUGUGUGUUAGUUUGCAAAAGUAUAGGGAGCCAAGGGCAUUCUUAUCUAAAAACAAAAUAAUAAUAUUUAAAUCCAAUCAAACAGCUGCCCUUGUUCCUGAAUCCAACUCGGUCUCCUUGCAGCAGUUUCAACCCCAACUCGGCUUUUCGUGCCCAUCUUUCUGAUCUUCUCCUCUAUUUAUAAAAAGCUCAUCUUCGUGUGGUGUUCUUUUCUUCUCUCUCCGCACUGCCUUCAUUCGUUCGUUUGCUUCUGUCUCUCUGUCUCUCUCGCUCGCUCUCUCUCUCUCUCUACUUCGCCCGGGACCUCUAUAUCUCUCUCUCGUUCCAGCCUCAUCGUCAGAGAGAUUUGCUGCUUCCAUCAACCCAACUGUAAGUCUUGUCUGAGCCCUAAUAAUUUCCCCAAUCCUCCUUCUUUUUCCCCGAUCGACGAACUGGAUCCUCAAUUUCCCUUCUGGUUAUCAACUAAGCACCCGCGUUUUCCCCUCUAACUUUGACUUUUCUGCAAUCUAGAAAAUUACGAUUGAAAGCUCUUUCUUGAUUUUAUCUUCUACUUUGUGCCGGUGUUGUUUCUUGUUUCUGGUUUGCCGUAAUUCUAUAUUUUGAUCUAUGAUGUAGCUCGGACGGUCACUGAUUGACGACUGUCGACUUCUUUUGAUGUCCUUUGUAUUGGCUGUUUAGUGGGGGCUGUGGUGUUUAAAGUAAGUUUUGAGUUCCUAGGGUUUCCGAUGUCACGAUUUUUGGGGGAUAGUCACGCAGUUUUGUAUUUUAGUUCUGAGUAAUUAGAUUUGGUAACGGGGUUGAUUUCUCUAGGGUUUUUUUUGCCCCGAGGGAUAGUCUUUUAUGUGAGCUAGGAUUCUAUAUAGUGUGACUAUUAGAACAUGAAUGUAGUUUCCGUGAUGUGCUUUAACUGUCGGUUUCUCUCGAACGGCCACCCAAAGAAGCUGAAAGUACAGAAAUUUGGAGACCGCAGUGUAUAUUACUCAUGUAAAAGAGAUAUUUGAAUCUAGGUAACCUAACUGUUGUAGUCGUUUCUUCUGUGGAACCUUGAUCUAGGUAACCAUGAGCGACCAGGGAGACAAGACCUGCCCACUUUGCGCUGAGGAGAUGGACCUGACUGAUCAGCAAUUGAAGCCUUGCAAAUGUGGUUAUGAGGUUCGACUUGUGUUCUGGCAAUCUAUUCUAUCAACGAAUAUCAGUCCGCUUCUUAGGAUUUCAUUGUUGAAACAUGUCAUAAUAAAAUUCAAAGCAUUAGAAAUAAUAAAAUUCAAAGAUUAGAGAAGUAAUAUGUUUUAGGAAUUAAAAUUUCAUACUUCCUUGUUGCCAGCAAGCAGUUUUAGAAAGCUUGGUAUCUAGGCCACAUUGAUGAAUCAUUGCUUGAAGUUAUCUAUGUAUAUUAAAUUUUCAGUGCUCAUAGGUUUGCUUUUGGAGGGUGAGAUGGAAAAUGUAGCUUUCCGUUUUCAAUAAGUUGCAUGUCUCUAGUUGGGAUAUUUCUUAUAGUGUCAACUUAUGUUUGUAUUCUGUCGGUUUGAAUCUUUUGCUUUCUUCUAAUUACAUGCAAUUUUUGGUCUUAUUAAUAAUUGUUUGCUCCUUAUUGUAGAUAUGUGUUUGGUGUUGGCAUCAUAUAAUGGACAUGGCUGAGAAGGAUGCCUCUGAGGGCCGGUGUCCUGCAUGCCGCACUCCAUAUGACAAGGAGAAGAUAGUAGGGACAGGACCAAAUGAGAGGUUACAUGUUUAUCAUCUGUGCAUUCCAAUGAUGUUAUGAUUGCUUAUUCGUCGCUGAUCUUAAAUUUACCCUUAUAGAUUGGUAUCUGAAAUCAAUGAGCGAAAAAAGUCACAGAAGUCAAAGAUGAAACCCUCAGAGGGGAGGAAACAGCUUAGCAGUGUGCGAGUUAUCCAACGGAAUCUUGUGUAUAUAGUUGGGCUACCGAUGAACUUUGCAGAUGAGGAUGUAAUGUCUUUUAUUAUCUUGGCACAAAUAUUUUGUUACUCAGUUCCCAUUUAUUUUACAACCCAGACUCCUUAGAUCAUAGAAAAGUAGGGUCUGAUAGUCAUUUCUGUCUUUUGGGUAGCUUCUCCAGCGCAGAGAAUAUUUUGGCCAGUAUGGUAAAGUCUUGAAGGUAUCAAUGUCGCGGACAGCAACUGGAGUUGUUCAACAAUUUCCUAAUAAUACAUGUAGUGUGUAAGUUCAUGUACAAAUGCUGUUUCAGUCACAACCUGUAACCUAUCAACUUCCUAUAGUUCUUAUUUGGUUCUACUAUCUGACAAAAGAAACUUUGUAUAUAGAUAUAUUACUUAUGGAAAGGAGGAUGAAGCAAUUCGAUGUAUUCAAUCCGUACAUGGCUUUGUCUUGGAUGGUAGAUCGUUGAAGUAAGAGCUUAUUUGUCAUUCUAAUUUAAGUUUUUUCUCUUUAUGGUAUGCAAUUUUCUAAUACUACAUGUUUUUGUAGGGCGUGUUUUGGAACCACAAAGUAUUGUCAUGCUUGGCUCAGAAAUGUGGUACGAGCUAUAAUUUCAGCAUUCAGGCCGUUUGUCUAUUGCUGAUAUUUUGUUCAGAACUAUAUAAUCUUUAGCACUAGUUUAAUGUGAAUGUAAGUUUUGUUAAACGCAGCCCUGCACCAAUUCCGAUUGUCUAUACUUGCAUGAGGUUGGAUCUCAAGAAGAUAGUUUUACAAAAGAUGAGAUUGUAUCAGCGUAUACAAGGUAUCAUGAAUGUAUUUAUUAGAAGACGUGCUGAUUGCUUUGUUUUAUGGUUGCAUAAUGUAAUGAAUAUGAUUUCUGGUUGGAGGAAUUGGUUGAUUGUACAUAUUAAUUAAUUAGAACGCCAGUUUUGCUUACAGAUACUUCACAUUUGAUUGUGGACGAAACAAUCCUUUAUGCUAUCACAUCCAUGGAAAUUGAAAUUUUACUCCUGUUUCUUUACAUAUUUUCAAAUAAAAAUAUCUUAUUGGUGAUGUUUGACAUGUUAGUUUGUUAUUUCUCUUUAUGUUUCCGGCAUUUGACUACUAUCUUAUCAAUAAAUUAUUUGUGGUUACGAAGGAAUUGGGUACAACAGAUUACUGGUGGCGCCAGUAGUUUGGCCCGCCGUUCUGGGAGUAUGUUGCCGCCUCCAGCACUAGAUUAUUCUUAUGAUACUUCAGCCUCAGCCCUCGUAAAAAAUUCAACAAAUGUAAGAUUGAUACUCGUGUAUAGUGGUUCUCCUGUGUUUAGGAUUAGCAAGUUCUCUGCUAAUGCGGUUUUAAUUUGUUUUGUCCAGCAGAGCACAGUUGGUACUAGUUGCAAAGGCUCACCUCCUAAGGGGAGCUGUAGUAGAUCUGCUGCUCUUCCAGCUGCAGCCUCAUGGUAUGCCAUUAUUUUAACAUCAGUAGUUUCUUUUUGACACGUUUGAUUUUUCCUAAUAUGCCUGGUUUGCAGGGGAAUGCAUGCUUCAAACCAACAGCCGAUUGUAACAUCCUUAGAUGGUCCUUCCAAGACCAAGCCAAUGGCUGAUACAGUUUCCAGCACUGUUCGGGUUCCAGCGGCUGUUACAGUACAGCCACAGUUCAGUCUUCUGCAGCAGUUGGUGAUAUAAAGUCAACUUCGAAUGAAGAUGGUCAACCAAUAAACAGUGAAGGCAGACCUGAUUCCUUAAGACCUAUUAAACACCAUGGCAUAGGAGGUUCAUGUGCAAAGAGUUCUCAGCUAUUAAGUCAUGAACAAGAGGGAGUUUCUAUUGCUGAUGAGAAACCUUCAAGUUUUUGUCCUGCAAUGUCUUCGGAGAGGAGGACAAAUAGUGGUCUCAGAAGUGAGGCAUCUAUCGCAAUGACUAGAACUAGCAGAAUGUUUCCAGAGGAUAGUGCAGCAGUCAAAUCCUCUAGUGGUCAGAAACAUGUAGAUCAGGCUGGGGAGUCUCUAGGUUCUGCAGCCUGUAAGCCUGCUGCCAAUGGUGUAUUUGUUUCAGGAGAAGUUAAAGAUUCUGAAAUGGAUCUGCAGACUAAAGCUAUUUCAAGCAGUGUUUCUGAGCUGGAAGAGGAUUUGUUUCCAUUUGAUAAUCAGAGACUGAAUGAUCCAGAGGUGGUCAGCCGUACAUCGUAUUUGCCAAGUACGAUGACCUCUAUACAGACAGCUGAUGAUUCUUGGUCAAUUCCUUUGCAACAUUGUGAUGGAUUAGAUGUAAAGGGUGAUCCUCUAUUUCUAGAUAGUAGAAAUGGUGAUCGUCUGGUGAGAAAUAUGUCUUGUGAUGCUAUCAUGCGAACUGGAUUCCCUGAGAAAUUGACGAAUAAUAGCUCUACUGUGUUGGAUAGAACUGGACAACACCGAUUUGUGCUUCCUGCCCAAAGUGAAGGAAAACAUUCAGGAAUACUACAAUGUGAAAGUGAUGGUAAUGCUGCUCUAAAUCCUGGAGAGAGUAGUAUAAUUUCAAAUAUACUAUCUCUAGACCUGGAUGGAUGGGAUGAGUCGUUAACUUCUCCUCAAAAUUUGGCUAAACUUUUGGGUGAUACAGGAAAACAAACUAGUUCCCUGAAUAUGUCCAAUUCCUGGAAAGUUCAAAGUAACAAGCAGUCUAAGUUCUCUUUUGCUAGGCAG